CCACAAGCUAAGGGAAAGGCCUCGCCAACCGGAAGUGUUCUUUCGUCAAAGCAAUCGUCCUAGCUGCAAACGUUCAUCCUCAACGUUCCGCUAUUUUCCUGGUUGCUAACAGGCUUCUGUCCCAUACCCGGCGGGACGUGUCUGGGAGGAAGGAGGAAUUUUAGUUUGAGCUCCUUGGCGGGCGGCGGCGGGACGUGUCUGGACGGCAGGCGGAAUUUUAGUUUGAGCUCCUUGGCGGGCGGCGGGGGAUUAUGGGCGUUCAGUGUACUGGAAAUGCGCUUCUGUUUUUAUUGCCAUGAAUCAGCACCUGACCCAGUAAAACACUGUGGACAGUAAAGCAAGACUGCACAGCAAAUAUCUAGUAUCUAAAUAUCUAAAAUUGGGUUAAAAAAAUCUGCUGGGUUUUCACAUCUGUACACUGAGAAGUUUAGAUUGGGUAAUUUCUAGGUUCUUUUCUAUAGCUGAAAAUUGUAGGAUUUUAUUCUGCCAGCAUUCCACUGCUAUGUUGGUUACCACAUCCACAAAGCUUCUGGAGGCUACUGGCAUUCCUGGGCUCAUAGCCACAUCACUUCAGUCUUCAAAAGAAGCAUCUUCAAAUGUCUCUCUGCUUCGCCUUCACUUCACUUUUUCUCAAUGUGUAUAAGAUCUCUCUCUACCUCCCUCUACUGCAUCUGAUUAAAUUUAAGGCCCAUCUGGAUAAUCCAGGAGGCCAAGAAUCCCGGCAUCUUUUCAUGGGUCAGCAACAACCUUUCAUCUUGGGGGC